CAACAUGGUCACAUAACCGAAGCUCCUGCGACGCUAACCAUAGUACCCCUUUAAUGGAAACUGAGCUGCAGUAACCCAGCAUGGCUACACAAUGAAUGGAGCUGGGGCUUCUGAUUCUGUUUGCUGGAGGGAGUGCCAGGUCUGUGGAGAUCACUCCGAGAUGGAGCUAUGGCAGAGAGGACAGAAGCUGUAAGCAGUGAUUUCACGGUCUUGCACACCAUGUUUGCAGACGCUGCACAUCCAGAACUGAUACUCCGUGAUGGGUCUUCCUG